UACGGAGGGGGCGAGCGUUAUUCGGAAUUAUUGGGCGUAAAGGGCGCGUAGGCGGCCUGGUAAGUCAAAGGUGAAAUCCCUCGGCUCAACUGAGGAACUGCCUUUGAAACUGCCUGGCUUGAGGCCGGGAGGGGGUGGCGGAAUUCCCAGUGUAGCGGUGAAAUCCGUAGAUAUUAGGAGGAACACCGGUGGCGAAGGCGGCUACCUGGACCGAUAUUGACGCUGAGACG
rnacentral:rRNA from 1 species